GACGAACGCUGGCGGCGUGCUUAACACAUGCAAGUCGAACGGAAAGGCCCUGCUUUUGUGGGGUGCUCGAGUGGCGAACGGGUGAGUAACACGUGAGUAACCUGCCCUUGACUUUGGGAUAACUUCAGGAAACUAGGGCUAAUACCGGAUAGGAGCUCCUGCUGCAUGGUGGGGGUUGGAAAGUUUCGGCGGUUGGGGAUGGACUCGCGGCUUAUCAGCUUGUUGGUGGGGUAGUGGCUUACCAAGGCUUUGACGGGUAGCCGGCCUGAGAGGGUGACCGGCCACAUUGGGACUGAGAUACGGCCCAGACCCCUACGGGAGGCAGCAGUGGGGAAUAUUGCACAAUGGGCGGAAGCCUGAUGCAGCAACGCCGCGUGCGGGAUGACGGCCUUCGGGUUGUAAACCGCUUUCGCCUGUGACGAAGCGUGAGUGACGGUAAUGGGUAAAGAAGCACCGGCUAACUACGUG
rnacentral:rRNA from 1 species